rnacentral:rRNA from 1 species
GACGGAGGGUGCUAGCGUUGUUCGGAAUGACUGGGCGUAAAGGGCGCGUAGGCGGCCGGUUGCGUCGGAUGUGAAAGCCCGGGGCUCAACCCCGGAACGGCAUCCGAUACGGGCUGGCUCGAGACCGAGAGAGGUGAGUGGAAUACCCAGUGUAGAGGUGAAAUUCGUAGAUAUUGGGUGGAACACCGGUGGCGAAGGCGGCUCACUGGCCCGAUACUGACGCUGAGGUGCGAAAGCGUGGGGAGCAAACAGG